rnacentral:rRNA from 1 species
UACGAAGGGGGCUAGCGUUGCUCGGAAUCACUGGGCGUAAAGGGUGCGUAGGCGGGGCUUUAAGUCAGGGGUGAAAUCCUGGAGCUCAACUCCAGAACUGCCUUUGAUACUGAAGAUCUUGAGUUCGGGAGAGGUGAGUGGAACUGCAAGUGUAGAGGUGAAAUUCGUAGAUAUUCGCAAGAACACCAGUGGCGAAGGCGGCUCACUGGCCCGAUACUGACGCUGAGGCACGAAAGCGUGGGGAGCAAAAGGG